rnacentral:rRNA from 1 species
CCUCCCAAAGCGUAACGGAGGAGUACGAAGGUACGCUAGGUACGGUCGGAAAUCGUGCUGAUAGUGCAAUGGCAUAAGCGUGCUUAACUGCGAGACCGACAAGUCGAGCAGGUGCGAAAGCAGGUCAUAGUGAUCCGGUGGUUCUGUAUGGAAGGGCCAUCGCUCAACGGAUAAAAGGUACUCUGGGGAUAACAGGCUGAUACCGCCCAAGAGUUCAUAUCGACGGCGGUGUUUGGCACCUCGAUGUCGGCUCAUCUCAUCCUGGGGCUGUAGCCGGUCCCAAGGGUAUGGCUGUUCGCCAUUUAAAGAGGUACGUGAGCUGGGUUUAAAACGUCGUGAGACAGUUUGGUCCCUAUCUGCCGUGGGCGUUGGAUAUUUGAAGGGGGCUGCUCCUAGUACGAGAGGACCGGAGUGGACGAACCUCUGGUGUACCGGUUGUGACGCCAGUCGCAUCGCCGGGUAGCUAUGUUCGGAAGAGAUAACCGCUGAAAGCAUCUAAGCGGGAAACUCGCCUUAAGAUGAGAUAUCCCUGGAGGCUUGACCUCCUUGAAGGGUCGUUCGAGACCAGGACGUUGAUAGGUCGGGUGUGUAAGCGCAGUAAUGCGUUCAGCUAACCGAUACUAAUUGCCCGUAAGGCUUGAUCCUAUAACA